rnacentral:lncRNA from 1 species
CGCUGUGAUGCGCGGACACGUGUAAAGCCUGAGCUUGUGUACACAACGCUCGCGGAGGAAAGUCUCUAGACAGGAGUCGAAUGGCCUCUGCUGUUACAGUGAA